ACACAGACCCAACCACCGCACUCCACUUAUCCAUCACUAAGCUUGGUUCCAAGAAGCUCUAGAUCGAGCGGCGGCAGCUAGUAGCCACCAUGGCGCGGCGGUCUCUUCUCCUGCCUCUGCUCGCGUCCCUCGCCCUGAUGGCGGCAGCUGUCGCGUCGGCCGACUCGUGGCUCUACGAGAAGUUCAACACGGACGGCACCGUCCGCACCGACUACGACGCGUCGGGGCAGCAGGUGGCGAUGCUCAACCUCGACCGGAGCUCCGGCGCCGGCUUCAACUCCAAGGAGAAGUACCUCUACGGCGAGUUCAGCAUCCAGAUGAAGCUCAUCGCCGGCGACUCCGCCGGCACCGUCUCAUGCUUCUACGUAAGUUGUUAGCUUAGUUUUCUCCGGACUCGAGACCCAAAACCUUUCUCGAUCUUGAGCUGAAUCACUGACGAUGCUCCCGAUGAACAACUGCAGCUAUCUUCCGGCGACGGCGACGACCACGACGAGAUCGACAUGGAGUUCAUGGGCAACUCCAGCGGCCAGCCCGUGGUGCUCAACACCAACGUGUGGGCCAGCGGCGACGGCAAGAAGGAGCACCAGUUCGACCUGUGGUUCGACCCGGCCGCCGACUACCACACCUACACCAUCAUCUGGAACCCGACCAACAUCAUCUUCAAGGUCGACGGCAACGUGAUCCGCUGCUUCAAGCGCUACGACGGCCUCGCCUACCCGAGCUCCAGGCCCAUGGCGCUGCACGCCACGCUGUGGGACGGCAGCUACUGGGCCACCCAGAAGGGCAAGGUCCCCAUCGACUGGUCCGGCGCGCCCUUCGUCGUCUCCUACCGGGGCUACUCCGCCGACGCCUGCGUCAGCGGCGGCGCCUGCCCCGCCGGCAGCGACCGGUGGAUGAACAAGCAGCCCGACAGCGCCGAGUGGGGCACCAUCAAGUGGGCGGAGAGCAACUACAUGCGCUACGACUACUGCCAGGACGGGUGGAGGUUCCCGCAGGGGCUGCCCGCCGAGUGCAGCCGCAGCUGAGUGCUG
rnacentral:lncRNA from 1 species